rnacentral:rRNA from 1 species
UACGUAGGGGGCUAGCGUUGUCCGGAAUCAUUGGGCGUAAAGCGCGUGUAGGCGGCUCGAUAAGUCUGCUGUGAAAGUCCAAGGCUCAACCUUGGGAUGCCGGUGGAUACUGUCGGGCUCGAGUACGGAAGAGGCGAGUGGAAUUCCUGGUGUAGCGGUGAAAUGCGCAGAUAUCAGGAGGAACACCUAUUGCGAAGGCAGCUCGCUGGGACGUUACUGACGCUGAGACGCGAAAGCGUGGGGAGCAAACAGG